rnacentral:tRNA from 1 species
CGGGGCGUGGCGCAGUUUGGAAGCGCGUCUGAUUUGGGAUCAGAAGGUCGCAGGUUCAAAUCCUGUCGCCCCGACCA